rnacentral:rRNA from 1 species
GGGGAAUAUUGGGAAUUGGAGGCAAGUCGAACCAGCAAAGGCCGGGGGAGGGAGAAGGCCUUUGGGGUGGAAACCUUCUUUUAGGGGGGAGGGGAGGAGGACGUUACCCCUGGAAAAGGCAAGGGUUACUAAGGGGCCAGCAGCCGCGGUAAUACGUAGGUGGCAAGCGUUGUCCGGAUUUACUGGGUGUAAAGGGCGUGUAGCCGGGAAGGUAAGUCAGAUGUGAAAUCUGGGGGCUCAACCUCCAAACUGCAUUUGAAACUACUUUUCUUGAGUAUCGGAGAGGUAAUCGGAAUUCCUUGUGUAGCGGUGAAAUGCGUAGAUAUAAGGAAGAACACCAGUGGCGAAGGCGGAUUACUGGACGACAACUGACGGUGAGGCGCGAAAGCGUGGGGAGCAAACA